GACGAACGCUGGCGGCGUGCUUAACACAUGCAAGUCGAACGGAAAGGCCUGCUUUCCCUUGUGGAUUGCGGGUACUCGAGUGGCGAACGGGUGAGUAACACGUGAGUGAUCUGCCCCCAACUUGGGUAUAAGCCUGGGAAACUGGGUCUAAUUCCCGAUAGGACUGCAGGGUGGUGCCUGUGGUGGAAAACGAUUUUCUAGUGGAUGGGGAUGAGCUCGCGGCCUAUCAGCUUGUUGGUGGGGUAAUGGCCUACCAAGGCGGCGACGGGUAGCCGGCCUGAGAGGGUGGACGGCCACAUUGGGACUGAGAUACGGCCCAGACUCCUACGGGAGGCAGCAGUGGGGAAUAUUGCACAAUGGGCGGAAGCCUGAUGCAGCGACGCCGCGUGGGGGAUGACGGCCUUCGGGUUGUAAACUCCUUUCGACCGCGAGGAAGCCACCUGGUUGGAAGGGUGGUGACGGUAGUGGUAGAAGAAGCACCGGCUAACUACGUG
rnacentral:rRNA from 1 species